rnacentral:rRNA from 1 species
CGCACGGGUGCGUAACGCGUGGGAAUCUGCCCUUGGGUUCGGAAUAACAGUGAGAAAUUACUGCUAAUACCGGAUGAUGUCUUCGGACCAAAGAUUUAUCGCCCAGGGAUGAGCCCGCGUUAGAUUAGCUAGUUGGUGGGGUAAUGGCCUACCAAGGCGACGAUCUAUAGCUGGUCUGAGAGGAUGAUCAGCCACACUGGGACUGAGACACGGCCCAGACUCCUACGGGAGGCAGCAGUGGGGAAUAUUGGACAAUGGGCGAAAGCCUGAUCCAGCAAUGCCGCGUGAGUGAUGAAGGCCUUAGGGUUGUAAAGCUCUUUUACCAGGGAUGAUAAUGACAGUACCUGGAGAAUAAGCUCCGGCUAACUCCGUGCCAGCAGCCGCGGUAAUACGGAGGGAGCUAGCGUUGUUCGGAAUUACUGGGCGUAAAGCGCGCGUAGGCGGUGACUCAAGUCAGAGGUGAAAGCCCGGGGCUCAACCCCGGAACUGCCUUUGAAACUAGGUCGCUAGAAUCUUGGAGAGGCGAGUGGAAUUCCGAGUGUAGAGGUGAAAUUCGUAGAUAUUCGGAAGAACACCAGUGGCGAAGGCGACUCGCUGGA